GUUUUAAUAGUUUAAAUAAAAUAAUGAUUUUGUAAAUCAAAGCUAAGGUUUAACCUUUUAAAUCA
rnacentral:tRNA from 1 species